ensembl:lncRNA
CUGUGACGUACCAGCAUACCACCAUCUUGGAAUCUGGAACCGGGGACUCUGUCGGUACCGGGACGGGUCUGCGCGGCGCAGCGAGGACGCGGGGUGUCUGGACUCCGCCAUGAUGUAGACUUGCGUUUUCCUGGGAAAUCCUCAGGACAUAGUACUUCCAGAAAGUCCGAGGGAGGGAAGAACUCCGUUCCCUGGAAGCUGGAAAUGAAAAGGGCAGGCCUCCCAUGGAUACCAACCAAACACAGAAAAUCAAGUUUCCGUAAGACCAGGUGCUUCCUCUCCUUUUAAGGCUGGAUGAAGCAAUCCAGUAGGAAGAAAAGGUGCUGAAGGCAGGCAGAAGAGUCAGAGACAGCCCCAGCCCUCCAUUAGGAGUCCCACAGGAAGACCUGCUGCACAACUCUGACAUGUGUGCAGAAGGCCCAGGACUUUGAGUUUAUAAUCCCCCUGCCUCCACCUCUGCACUGCCAGGACUAUUCACGGACACCCCUGUUCUCAGCUUUUUGGGCAGCUAGGGAGCAAAUCCAGGAUCCCAUGCCUGGGAGGCAAGUCCUACUCUCCUACAUUUUCAGCCCAGGAACUUUAUUAUUGACUCAUACAUCGUCUACAUAUGUUGCUGUUUCAACAUUGUGUUCUUUAACAUGAAUUAUUUCAUCCAUUCCCC